rnacentral:lncRNA from 1 species
CACCACUAGAUUGACAGAACUCACUCUCUACCGCCUAUAGCUCAUCUGUAACUCAUGUACACCAGUGAUACUCAAAUACUCAGCCGCGACAUGAAGUAGGGUGUUAUACAUUCUAGCGGCCCGAACCUGUAUAGACCCUUAUUAAUUUGAUGGGACGUGCAUCCGCACGUACCAUCGAGUUGCAAUCAACGACGUCGUCGUGCCCAAAAGCAUCACGUGGGGAACCCCGUUGUGACACCCGGAUUUAAGGGAUAAAGCCGGGUGCGUCUCAUAUGUGCGCCAAGAAAGAACAACACAUAUAAUAACAGAAUGUAUAGAGAUAAAUGUCAUAAAUAUCAUAAAUAUACUUAUUACAUAGUGGAAGUCUUACAAAAUAAAUGAUAAAUGUAAAGCGAACUAAAUAUUACUUUCCCAGCGCCACAAAGCUGACUCGGAAACACCACCUAGAUCAAGUCGAACUUCUCGUUAUGCGGCUCCUCUUCGACCACCUGUUCUUCUCCUGUGGGGGGUGUGAGGCAGCAAGGAUGAGCUCACAUAUGUUCAUCGCUCAACAAGUUGUGGGGAAUAAUGUGCAUAAACUCACCAAAGGUGGGAGUUCAUACUGAGUGUAAGGCUGAUCAAUAAAUAAUGGUUAAAGCUGAGCAUUGCAUUUAUAAGUUGGUCAAAAUUUUAUUAGCAGUUACUAAAUGUAAGUAAAUACCAAACCUUAGAAAUAGUAAGUCAAAAUAAUAAUAAAUGAUCCCAAUGCGAUGCAAAUGACAAAUUGAAUUUAAUUCCAUAAAUAAAUCAUGUGAGUGUCCGAGCUGCUCAUGAUCGUCAGCACGGCUAGUAUCCCAGUUUUACACUCUGCAGGGGUUGCGCAUCUUUACCCACAAGCUGUGUUACCCAUUUGCCAUAGGGUUGAUCGGACCCCAUACACCUCUACCAAGGAAGCAAUGCAGGAUUCCACUACGAGGCUUUUACAAAGUUCCACUAGUUUCAGAAAACCCACUACAGUUUCUAGGAAGCUCCAGUGCAGGGAUCCCUCACCUGACCGCCAUCGCAGCAAAAUCAACCCAAGGACCUCCCAACACUGACCACUCCCUACUGCCCUUGCCCCUAUCGGGUAAGGUAGUCAUCCACUAGCUUUCCUAGUUAGUCAGCCAAGGGCAUCCCAUACCACCCUUGUGGUAGCACUGUUUUCCUGGGUGGUUCUCCACGUUCCAAUUAACAUAAUGAUCUUAUCAUGAAUAGUAAAUAAUAAACUGGUAAUAAAAGUGUGAACAUGAGUAAUGUAUUUCUCCAUACCCAAAACCACAUAAAGCAAUAGCAUGUACUACCCAAAAAAUCAGUGUAAAACAAGGUAUAAAGAUAGCCAAAUUGGGGUAACCUAUUGGGUCCCAUCAAAUUAACCUAUGCAGAUCAUUAUGAUUAAUAAGAACAUGACUGGGUAAAAAGAAGUGAUCAAGGGCACAACUUGUUUUCAACAAGCUCCUGCUCAGCAGUCUCCACCUGCUGAACCCCUGGAUCCUCUGUAGCGUGCUCGUCUACUCGCAUCAAUACAAACAUAUAUAGCAUAUAAAAAUUUAACAUAACACCAAUCAAUAGAACAGAAUGCAUAAUAGUAUUCUACGCUGCGUAACGAGAUCGUAGGAACAAGAAUCACUAAAUUUGGAUCUACGGUUAUUAAGUUAUGCAUGUCUGAAGUUAUUUAAUACUUGGAAUAAAAUAAUUCAAGUGCAUAAUUUUAAUUCAAGUUUCAUGAUUAAACAGAGGUACUAAGUGAUAGGCAAUAUUAAAACAAAACUAAUGCCACUGGAAUGGAUCAAUUUGGAGCUAAAAUGAAUUAAAUAUGAUUUAUACAAGUUUCUAGAUUUAUUUUUGUAUUGAAUAUCAAUUUCUAAUAUUGUUUUUCUUAAUUCCCUGGCUGCUGGACUGCGCAUCAAAUACCGAAUAGUACAAGGGCUAACUUGCAAAGUUGUCCCAGACUCAGACUAACUCGUGAUUGACGGCGGGUUUUAUUUCUGUGAAAGCAGGGGGCUCAUAUGAAACUCUGCAAUCGCGAAGGGGUAUCCGCUGAUGAGGGUCAUUCAGAUCGAACGACCACAACCCUAUCUCCAAGAUGACCUACAAACCCAAUCGCCGGAUCUAAAAUUUACGGUCAGAAACUCGCCACGUCCCCCUAGUUGAUUCCUGCCCUUGAUUCAUUAACUAGCGACCUUGAUUUAUGCAAUGAACCGAUAUUCGCCAGAUCCGUACUGACCGUCCGAUCCAUGAUUGAUGGCACUUGUGCAUCUGCCUUCCCCAACGGCGGCGCACAGCUCCCGUGCAGCGGCAGCCAUGGCUGGGAACGACGUAGCUGCCCACCAGGACUCAAAUCUAAUGUGAUAGACCCAAACGCACCGCCCCAGAUACCUCCCAACCAGAUGCCCACGACCCCUAACUGUUUUCAUGCUAAAGCUCUAGACCAUGGCCAUCCGUGGUUUCAUGGCGGAGCCUGAACUCCGGUGAGAAAUCCUUGGUUUACAAGCCCACGAUUCGUCUCGGAUCUAGGCGUUAUACAAUGCACAGAAGAGGACGAAAACAUGGCGGAGGUUCCCACCUUGAUUGGCGCGGUCAGAAGCCCAGCCCACGGCGGCGUGCAGAAUCUGCGGCGGCGGCACCUUCUUCCCUCUGAUCCCCUCUCACUCUCUGCUUUGGUCUAUGGCGAUGGGACUUCCAGCACGAGGCAUCUCGGUCGCAUGCGAGGGGAGACAGCCACGUUCUUAAACA